AUGCACCAGAUACAAGCCUGACAGUCCAUCUUUCCCCAGAUGUGAUUUUCACACUGGGGGAUUUUUAAUGACUGCACGGCGUCAAACGGUGUAAGAGUGACAUUAGCCCUGAGAUUUAAGCUUUGCAGUGGGGAGCAUCACUGUUGAGUUAUGGCUCAGAGGCACAAAU